UACGUAGGUGGCAAGCGUUGUCCGGAUUUACUGGGCGUAAAGCGUGCGCAGGCGGUCUUGCAAGACAGAUGUGAAAUCCCCGGGCUCAACCUGGGAACUGCAUUUGUGACUGCAAGGCUGGAGUACGGUAGAGGGGGAUGGAAUUCCGCGUGUAGCAGUGAAAUGCGUAGAUAUGCGGAGGAACACCGAUGGCGAAGGCAAUCCCCUGGACCUGUACUGACGCUCAUGCACGAAAGCGUGGGGAGCAAACAGG
rnacentral:rRNA from 1 species